UACGAAGGGGGCUAGCGUUGCUCGGAUUGACUGGGCGUAAAGGGCGCGUAGGCGGUUCGUACAGUCAGACGUGAAAUCCUGGGCUCGAACCUGGGGGCUGCGUUUGAUACGUGCGGACUUGAGUGCGGAAGAGGGUCGUGGAAUUCCCAGUGAGAGGUGAAAUUCGUAGAUAUGGGAAGAACACCGGUGGCGAAGGCGGCGACCUGGUCCGAUACUG
rnacentral:rRNA from 1 species